rnacentral:rRNA from 1 species
GACGAACGCUGGCGGCGUGCUUAACACAUGCAAGUCGAACGAUGAAGCCGGAGCUUGCUCUGGUGAAUUAGUGGCGAACGGGUGAGUAACACGUGAGUAACCUGCCCUUGACUCUGGGAUAACUGCGGGAAACUGUAGCUAAUACCGGAUACGACCCUCGGAGGCAUCUCCUGGGGGUGGAAAGAAUUUCGGUCAAGGAUGGACUCGCGGCCUAUCAGCUAGUUGGUGAGGUAAAGGCUCGCCAAGGCGACGACGGGUAGCCGGCCUGAGAGGGUGACCGGCCACACUGGGACUGAGACACGGCCCAGACUCCUACGGGAGGCAGCAGUGGGGAAUAUUGCACAAUGGGCGCAAGCCUGAUGCAGCGACGCCGCGUGAGGGAUGACGGCCUUCGGGUUGUAAACCUCUUUCAGCUAUGACGAAGCGCAAGUGACGGUAGUAGCAGAAGAAGGACCGGCCAACUACGUGCCAGCAGCCGCGGUAA